GGAUUUCGUGGCAUCUAGCAGUGAGGUUGCAGAUUGCAACAAAGUGAAUAUCUCCCUCCUCCCUCUCCCUUUAUGGUGGCCGCUAAACUCACACAAAACGCCAAAGGCUCUCUCUAGAGCCAGUGUUUAGUUUGUCUGUUCUGGGCUACUGUAGAAACACGGCUUUGCAAUAUGGCAGGCUACAUGGAAGAGGACCCGCUCCCUAUGUAGAUAUAAAGGGCUCAUUUUAAGAUGUCGCUGUGACUAAGGGGAAAGACACCACAUGGGGAUGAGACAGUUGCCCUCUUUUCUUUCUAAAGUGGUAAUCAGCAGCAGGAUUAGUGUUAACUGCCACCCAGUCACUGGCAGGCUCCACGUGGGCCACUGCAAGCCCCUCCUGCCGACUGGCCUGACCGAGUCUGGCCGGGACCCACUCGCAGUGACGAGGAACUGGGAGUCCGCUAAUCCUGAAGAAAGACCCCCGUCUGGCUUCCCCUGGCCGGGCCACCUAUCACCACAUCACAGAGCCUAGGCACCAGCACCAGGCCUGGCCCAGAGG